rnacentral:rRNA from 1 species
UACGUAGGGUGCAAGCGUUAAUCGGAAUUACUGGGCGUAAAGCGUGCGCAGGCGGCUUUGCAAGACAGAUGUGAAAUCCCCGGGCUUAACCUGGGAACUGCAUUUGUGACUGCAUGGCUAGAGUGCGGCAGAGGGGGAUGGAAUUCCGCGUGUAGCAGUGAAAUGCGUAGAUAUGCGGAGGAACACCGAUGGCGAAGGCAAUCCCCUGGGCUUGCACUGACGCUCAGGCACGAAAGCGUGGGGAGCAAACAGG